UGCAUGGUGCUGCACACUUCUAAAG
rnacentral:misc_RNA from 1 species